GUCUUAUCAAAUGAGAGAGAGGCGCGCUGGGAGUGUUUUGAUGUCACCGACUGGUUUUAUUUUUAGAGGAAUACAUAUAUAUAUUUUUUUAAUUUAUUUAUUUGUUAUUUUAUUAAAUUUUUACUGCUAUAGCACCUAAUUUUCCUAUAUGGGGUAUCCAUAAAGGAUAAUUCAAUGUGGAAAAAAAGUUCUUCAAAAUUAAGAAUUUUUAAACUUUUGCAAAAAAUAGAAUCCAAUAAAAUGGAACUUUAUUUUCAUUGUCACAAGAACAAUGAAAAACCGUAAGGCACCUCACAAUUUGCAGCGUUGAGACCAAAAAUAUAAGCACACAAUUCUCAAAAAUACAGUUAUUUACAGCACAUACAAGUGUUCACAUUUGAGAGAAUGACCAAAAAUGGUAAUUAUGCGAUUAUUUCCAUUCAUGAAUUGCACAGAUUUUUUGAUGAGACAAUCUUGCACAGUUGUUGUCAUUAUAUUGCACUUAUGUGUGAAGGAAAAGGGUGUCAUUAGUUCUUGCGGUGUGGGUGGGGGCCAGAGCUUGGUGGUCAAAGCUGUUUUUGAGCCUCGUGGUUCUAGACUAUCCUGUGGUGUUCCAGAGGGAAGGUAAAUUGUAAAAUGAUAAAUGGAUUGCAUUUAUAUAGCACUUUAACUACACUAUCACAGUGUCCAAAGCGCUUUACAGAUGCUCACGCAUUCACCCAUUCAUACACCAAUGAGCGGCUGCUGCCAUGUAAGGUGCUGCUAGGUCCCAAUGGGAGCAAUUUGGGGUUCAGUGUCUUGCCCAAGGACACUUCGAGAUCAGACAGUCAGAGCCGCAAUUCAAAUCGGCGACCCCUUCGCUCACUGGACAAUCAGCUCUAUCAACACCCACAGCUGCCCCAGGGAGGAAAAAGUGAGUGUCCUUUAUGAUUCCACUGCCUUUUUGCAGAAUGCCAGUGUAAGUGUCCCUGAGGGUGGGUAGUGACCAUCCAGUCACCCACUCUGCUGCUUUCACCACUCGCUGCAGGUUCCUCUUGUCCUUCGCAGUACAGCUGCUGAACUAACUUGUGCAGCAAUAGGUCAGGAGGGUCUCCAUGGUGAAUCUAUAGUAUCAGUAUCAGAUAGACCUUAUGUUUCUGAGAAUAACCUUUAGCAGCUAAUAUACGUAGCUUUAAGUCUUAUGUUACAUGUUUGGCACACUUUGACUGUAAUAAUCUAUCCAUCCAACAGUUCUCUAUAUUUUCUAUACCGCAGAUAUGCUAGAGUCUAUCCCAGCUGAAAAGAAAAGAGAUGGGGUCCACCCUGGAUUGAUCAACAGGGCAUAAAAAGACAAGCAGACCAACAACCAUUCACACUUAGAUUCACACUUUUAGGGACAAUUUAGAAUGUUCAAUUAAUCUGACAUGCAUGUUUUGAUAAUGUGCAGUCAGAGUACCUGGAUAAAACCCACAACUAUGAGGUGUUAUCUGCUAACUACUUUCCCACGUGUCGCCUGAUUAUAAUAAACAAAAUAGUUCCUCACCUGACUGACUUUCCCAUUAUUUUAGAGGUCUGGUUCAAAGAACACGAAACCAAUCUGUUCCUUAAUAUGACAGUUACUGUUCCCUGUUACCACAAAAUCUUGAUCUGACCUAUCCUUAGACUUAUUCUGAUGGUUAAAGCACCAUGUUGGAUUAGUUGAAGACUCUAUGCCCAGAGAUGUGAAUGUGACCAUGAAGGCUUGUCUGCCUCUAUAGUCUCUCUAACUUCGAAAGCUAGCAAAACUGCUGCAUCAGAGCCGAGACAGAAGACAUUUAUUGGCUUUGGCUGUUUUACACCCAGGAAAGUGGAAAAUAGUUUGUGCAAUCAGCUUGUUAAAUGUGUGACAUAGCACCAGCCAUGGCCACCCCUAGGAUUUUGGUGGCCCUAAAGGGAAUUUUAUAUGUGGCCCCAAAACACUUACAAAAGUCACCAAAUCAUGCACACUGCUCAUAACGAUAAACUCCAAUUUCAAUGAAGUUGGAGGUUGUGAAAAUUUAAAUAAAAACAAAAUACAAGGGUUUGCAAAUCCUUUUCAAACUAUAUUUGAUUGAAUAUUCUACAAAGACAAGUUAAUGUUCAAAAUGAUGAACGUUAUUGUUUUUAUUAAUGCAAAUAUUCCCUCAUUUUGAAUUUGAUGCCUGCAAGACAUUCCAACAAAGUUGGUACAGAGGCAACAAAAGACUGGGAGAGUUGAGGAAUGCUCAAAAAACACCUGUUUGGAACAUUCCACAGGUGAACAGGUUAACAGGAAACAGGUGAGUGUCAUAAUUGGGUAUAAAAGGAGCUCAGUGUCAGUUGAUCACAAGCAAGGAUAGCGUGAGGUUCAGCACUUUGUGAACAACUGCAGGAGCAAAUAGUCCAACAGUUUAAGAACGUUUCUCAAUGUCCAAUUGCAAGGAAUUUAGGGCUCAUCAUCUACGAUCCAUAAUAUCAUCAAAGGGUUCAGAGAAUCUGGAUAAAUCUCUACACGUAAGCAACAAGGCCGAAAACCAACAUUGAAUACCUGUGACCUUUAAUCCCUCAGCCAGCAAUGCAUUAAAAAACAGCAUCAUUGUGUAAAGGAUAUUGCCACAUGGGCUCAGGAACACUUCAGAAAACUAUUGUUAGUUAAAAAGGUUCAUUGCGACAUCUACAAAUACAAGUUAAAACUCUACCAUGCAAAGUGAAAACCAUAUAUCAACAACACCAAGAAAUGCCGCCGACUUCUCUGGCCCCCGAGCUCAUCUGAGAUGGACUGACACAAAGUGGAAAACUGUGCGGUGGUAUGAAAAGUCCACAUUUCAAAUUGCUUUUGGAAAUCCUGGAUGUCGUGUACUCCUGGCCAAAGAGGAAAAGGACCAUCCCGAUUGUUAUCACUGCAAAGUUCAAAACCCACCAUCUGUGAUGGUAUGGGCGUGUGUUAGUGCCCAUGGCAUAGGUAACUUACACAUCAGUGAAGGCACCAUUAAUGCUGAAAGGUACAUACUGUCAUGGGUGUGUUCCGGUUUUUGUCUUCCACCUGUUUCACACACACCUGCUCCUGAGAGCAUCUUCACCACCUGUUCCUCGUUCACCCUAAUUACCCCGUGCAUUUAACCUCGUGUCUCAUUCUUUCUCGUCGCCAAUUUGUUGCACCUUGUCGUCGCGUUCCAGCAUUCCUUGUUUCCACGUCACAGACUCACAGUUUUGGAGCAGCAUAUGCUGCUAUCCAAACAAUGUCUUUUUCAGGGACGUCCCUGCUGAUUUCGGCAAGACAAGACACAUUCUGCAUGUGUUACAACAGCGUGGCUUCGCAGUAAAAGAGUGAGCCAAUCUCCUCCAGUCCACUCAGUCCUCCUGCCGAAUCCCCUCUUCCCCCACUACUCCUUGACAAUCAUCCAGCCUUCAUCGUCCGGAAGAUUUUGGAUGUCCGCUACCAUGGUCGUUGCAUCCAGUACCUUGUGGACUGGGGGGGUACGGUCAUGAAGAACACUCCUGGGUUCCACGUUCCUUCAUCCUUGACUCAUGCCUCCUUCGGACUUCUAUCGUGAGUUCCCCUGUAAGCCUGGUAGGGCA